GAAACGCUGGUGUAUACAAGGAGAUCCCCACUUCGCUCCGACUGGACGGCUACAAGCGGGGGCCGUCAGAAAUCAAAGUGAAGAUCAAAAAUCUCACACAGCAAUACAGACACUACGUAAAGACGGGACAGACGACUGGCUCAGCAUCAGUUAAAUAGCCCUAUUCCCAAAAAAUUCAUUCUUUCUUGGGAUGCCUCCCGGUAAACGACGCGAGUCUUGUGCAAGAGACAAGCUGCGGAGAGGAAGGCACCACUGUGGAAGAGCUCAUCAGCGGUAUGGUGUGCAGUGGUCGCCAGAACAAUGAACAUAGUAGCCCUGAAGUAAGCGAAAGCACGGGAAUCUCUUAAGAUCCACCGCCCGAAGCAGCUGA